UACGGGGGGGGCAAGCGUUGUUCGGAAUUACUGGGCGUAAAGGGCUCGUAGGCGGCCAACUAAGUCAGACGUGAAAUCCCUCGGCUUAACCGGGGAACUGCGUCUGAUACUGGAUGGCUCGAGUUUGGGAGAGGGAUGCGGAAUUCCGGGUGUAGCGGUGGAAUGCGUAGAGAUCCGGAAGAACACCGGUGGCGAAGGCGGUCUGCUGGGCAGUUGCUGACACUGAGGCGCGGACAGCGUGGGGAGCAAACAGGG
rnacentral:rRNA from 1 species